rnacentral:tRNA from 1 species
GAGGGUGUAGCUCAAUUGGUAAUGUGCAUGCUUAGCAUGCAUGAGGACCUGGGUUCAAUCCCCAGUACCUCCU